rnacentral:rRNA from 1 species
UACGUAGGGUGCAAGCGUUGUCCGGAAUUAUUGGGCGUAAAGAGCUCGUAGGCGGUUUGUCGCGUCGACUGUGAAAACCCGAGGCUUAACCUCGGGCCUGCAGUCGAUACGGGCAGACUAGAGUUCGGUAGGGGAGACUGGAAUUCCUGGUGUAGCGGUGAAAUGCGUAGAUAUCGAGAGGAACACCUGCGGCGAAGGCGGGUUGCUGGGCUGAUACUGACGCUGAGGCGCGAAAGCCAGGGGAGCGAACGGG